AGUAACACGUGACUAAUCUACCCUCGAGUGGGGAAUAACUGAGAGAAAUCUUAGCUAAUACCGCAUAACACUUACGAGUCAAAGCAGCAAUGCGCUUGGGGAGGAGGUCGCGGCCGAUUAGCUAGUUGGCGGGGUAAUGGCCCACCAAGGCGAUGAUCGGUAUCCGGCCUGAGAGGGCGCACGGACACACUGGAACUGAAACACGGUCCAGACUCCUACGGGAGGCAGCAGUGGGGAAUUUUGCGCAAUGGGGGAAACCCUGACGCAGCAACGCCGCGUGGAGGAUGAAAUCCCUUGGGAUGUAAACUCCUUUCGAUAGGGAAGAUAAUGACGGUACCUAUAGAAGAAGCCCCGGCUAACUUCGUGCCAGCAGCCGCGGUAAUACGAGGGGGGCAAGCGUUGUUCGGAAUUAUUGGGCGUAAAGGGUGCGUAGGCGGUUUGACAAGUCUGAUGUGAAAUCUAUGGGCUCGAACCAUAGUCUGCAUUGGAAACUGUCGGGCUUGAGUAUGGGAGAG
rnacentral:rRNA from 1 species